GGCAAGUCGCAUCUUUACUUGCACAAUCAAUCACUGAAAGCGAAAUAGCAAGGAAGCUAAACGUUGACCAAUCCACCAUAAGCAGAGAUAUCAAAGCUUUAAAACAAAUGUCCCAACAGUUUGUUUUUGAUUUAGCAAAAUCUGACUUGGC
rnacentral:misc_RNA from 1 species